AAUAAGAAUAAUUUGAGAAACUUGUGUGACAACACGAGCGUAUUUUGGAAGCACAUAGGUAUCGUGAAAUGGUUGACUACCCGGUGAAUCACCUGAAAUACAAUCAUCAACAUCUGUCAUGAUAGAACUUGCAUGCAAAUUCACACCACUGUAAUCUCCACUCUUUAAGAGUUGUUGAGCUUCGAAAACCUCACCAAGGGCUCCUUCGCUUUCUCCAAAAUUCGACAAACAAUUCUUGUAAUGAGUUUUUGCUUUGCGAUCCCUACUUUGUGUACUU
rnacentral:lncRNA from 1 species